UUUCCCUCAGGAGAGCUGGUGCUCUCACAAGCAAACCCAUAUGUUUUAUCCAGGAAAGUGAAUGAAUAGAGGUUUUUUGAAGCCAAAACAAUAUCAACUUACUCUCAAACCUUAAAUGGGUAAGAAGAUCUGCUCACUGGCAUGGAUCUUGAUUUCUCAAUAUGAAUGCAUAU
rnacentral:ncRNA from 1 species